CAAUCUAAUUGGAUCAAGUUCCAUCAAUUGGGUCAAGCUCAAUCCACUUCGGUUGAACCUAAUCCGAUUAGGUCAAAUCCUGAUGUAGCUUAAAUCGAAUCCAAUUCAAUUUUGCUCAACCUAAGCCCAAUUACUCAAUCAAAUUGAGUUCAUUAGCAAUCUAAUUGCUAAUUAAUCCCCAAUAAUUCAAUAAUUAUUUUAAUACAACUUUUGUUUAGGGUAUUCUGUCAAUCGAAUUGACCGAUGUACCCCUGGAUGAUUCUUAAUCAUUGAUCAGCCAUUUGAUCAACUUAAAAACUUCUAUGCGUGUGACUCCAUCG
rnacentral:lncRNA from 1 species